CCCAUCUGGCAUCACUGAUGCAUCCUUUUUUAUAAAGGAUUGGGAUCCCCUUUGGUAGAAUUUCUCGUGUUCAUUGUUUGAUUUUUUAUCAUCAACACCCGUUACAUUCUAUUUUAAGAUUUAAAUUCACGUUGAGUCUCUAAUCAUUUUACGUUUUUUCAUAUAAAAUUGAGAUAAUAUUUGUAUAUCAUUCCGAGGAAAUUGUACGUGCAUAUUUGGCUGAGAAGAUUUUUGUCUCCUAACUUUGCCUUCUAUUUGCAUUGAAAGAGAAAAAGAGACACUCCACUAAAAACCGCAGAUUUUUGUGGUUAUGUGUUUGCGAAUGCGCCACCGAGAUCAACCGAGAUUGUGAACAUUGGAAGAACACACACUGCUCUUCAUGAUAUGGAGGGCCAUUCUGUUACUUUGAAGAUUCCGGAGCCAAUCGGCAAAAGCUUGCCUCGCGCUGUUAGCUUUUCCGAGUUGCCCAUGAGGCGUAGCAUCGUUAUUCAACACGCAAAGAUAUCUGGGGAGCUUAUGAGACAAUACAGUUGUGAACAGAUUUACGAUAAAGUCUCUAAUACUAGAAAAACAUCACGUGUGUAAAACCCGCAGGUCGUAUCUACCAGCAUAUACGGCCUUUUGCUUUUAGGAAAUCCACCACAGCGACCCCGAAAAUAGUAAAACAUCUUGAGUUGGGGCAUCAAUGGAGAAACGACCUGGUUUUUAUGAAAUUAUAAAAAUGACUUAAAGCGAAAAACUCGUACAUACAAUUUUAUAUUUUCCUUCAUCUUGAGAUAUUGUAUAUUUUUUUUAUUCGAGCCUAUAUGACUGUUAGUCUUUAGGAAACCCACCAAAUAAAUCCCAA